UCGCUUUGGCAGCACAUAUACUAAAAUUGGAAUGAUACAGAGAAGAGUAGCAUGGCCCCUGUGCAAAGAUGACACAAAAAUUUGUGAUGCAUUCCAUAUUUUU